GAUGAACGCUAGCGGCAGGCUUAAUACAUGCAAGUCGUGGGGCAGCAUGGGGUAGCAAUACUCUGAUGGCGACCGGCAAACGGGUGCGGAACACGUACGCAACCUUCCCAAAACUGGUGAAUAGCCCUCCGAAAGGAGGAUUAAUACACCGUAACAUAACGAAGUGGCAUCACUUUGUUAUUAUAGCUCCGGCGGUUUUGGAUGGGCGUGCGCCUGAUUAGGUAGUUGGCGGGGUAACGGCCCACCAAGCCUACGAUCAGUAACUGGUGUGAGAGCACGACCAGUCACACGGGCACUGAGACACGGGCCCGACUCCUACGGGAGGCAGCAGUAAGGAAUAUUGGUCAAUGGACGCAAGUCUGAACCAGCCAUGCCGCGUGAAGGAUGAAGGUCCUCUGGAUUGUAAACUUCUUUUAUCUGGGACGAAAAAAGGGCUUUCUAGCUCACUUGACGGUACCAGAGGAAUAAGCACCGGCUAACUCCGUGCCAGCAGCCGCGGUAAAGU
rnacentral:rRNA from 1 species